CAGGCGGUCACGUAAGUGCGGUGUGAAAGCCCCCGGCUCAACCGGGGAAUUGCACUGCAUACUGCGUGGCUAGAGCUUGGGAGGGGAGAGUGGAACUCCUGGUGGAGCGGUGGAAUGCGUAGAUAUCAGGAGGAACGCCGGAGGUGAAGACGACUCUCUGGCCCAAUGCUGACGCUGAGGUGCGAAAGCUAGGGGAGCGAACGGGAUUAGAUACCCCGGUAGUCCUAGCCCUAAACGAUGGGCACUAGCUAGAGGGGAUUCCUAUGUCUUCUCUGGCGAAGCAAAUGUGUUAAGUGCCCCGCCUGGGGAGUACGGUCGCAAGGCUAAAACUCAAAGGAAUUGACGGGGGCUCACACAAGCGGUGGAGCAUGUUGUUUAAUUCGAUGCAACGCGAAGAACCUUACCCAGGCCUGAAUGCAGGGAUUAAGCCGUGAAAGCGGAGGAUUGCCUUCGGGUGUAACCUGCACCGGUGUUGCAUGGCUGUCGUCAGCUCGUGUCGUGAGAUGUUGGGUUAAGUCCCGUAACGAGCGAAACCCCUAUUGUUAGUUGCCAGCGGGUAAUGCCGGGGACUCUAGCGAGACUGCCGUUGUCAAGACGGAGGAAGGUGGGGACGACGUCAAGUCAUCAUGGCCCGUAUGCCUGGGGCUACAAACGUGCUACAAUGGCCGGGACAGAGGGAAGCCAAGCCGUGAGGCGGAGCAAACCCCCAAAACCCGGUCCCAGUUCGGAUUGCAGGCUGCAAUUCGCCUGCAUGAAGUUGGAAUCGCUAGUAAUCGCGGAUCA
rnacentral:rRNA from 1 species